GAUGGACUCCCUAAUAUCUCUUCAUCAGAAGCUGAAAGAUGAGCCUCCCAGUUUACUCGAGGUCAUUCUGUAGACAAAACCUCCAAAUGGAUACUUCUAGGGAUGUAAGAUUUACACCCUCCCAAGAUUGAUGGUUUUCCUAGGUCUUGGUUAAUGCCUUGUCCUCAUGGAAGAUGCUAGAAGACCGACAUUGCCCGGCCUGGAGGGGAGCACUGCUUCCUUGGCAGAUGUCUUAAGACACAUAGAGGUUGUUUGAAACUGAAGCAUGUCUUUAUCCUCUGAAACUGAGAAGAACAAAUGCAACUUUAUGGUUCUUAUCACAUGUUAACAAUUAGUUUAUACUUACUGGAAUGAAUUGUCAUAACGGACGCAAGAGAGGGUACUUUAUAUGCUUCGUGGGACACCACUGAAAGAUCUGCAGCCUUCUCAGUCAUAUUCUAUGAUUCUAUGAUAUUCAAGGAACUCUGUCCAAAGGCCAAGAGAUGCUGAUUGAAAGAACCAUUUUGCCUGCCAGUUCUCAGAAGUAAAAAAGGUUGCAAUUCACAUCUUAUCUUUCAUGCUGUUUAAAAAAAAAAAAGACUUUUAUUUAGAUGAAUAUGUUUGAUGGAAGUGGUGUGCUUCUACUCUUGGCUACUAGAAAUACAUACAGGUAAAUUUGUAUUCUGCCAGCUUUCAACUGUGUUUCUGAUAGCCUAAUAAACGCUGAUGGCUCAAAGGGGUCUCUUGUAGAAAUUAUUUAUGAUCAAUAAAGCAGGAGGAAAUUUCACCACUAGCUGCUCCAGAUGGUGUGGAAAUAAUGGAGAAGAUCAGAGUACAGUCACAACAUUCAUUUAGAUAAAUUGCUUUUGUUUUAAAACAAAAUCCAG
ensembl:lncRNA